rnacentral:rRNA from 1 species
UACGUAGGGGGCAAGCGUUGUCCGGAAUCAUUGGGCGUAAAGAGCGUGUAGGUGGCUCGGUAAGUCCGCUGUGAAAGUCCAGGGCUCAACCCUGGAAUGCCGGUGGAAACUGUCGAGCUCGAGUCCGGAAGAGGCGAGUGGAAUUCCUGGUGUAGCGGUGGAAUGCGCAGAUAUCAGGAAGAACACCGAUAGCGAAGGCAGCUCGCUGGGACGGUACUGACGCUGAGGCGCGAAAGCGUGGGGAGCGAACAGG